rnacentral:rRNA from 1 species
UACGUAGGGGGCAAGCGUUGUCCGGAAUCACUGGGCGUAAAGGGCGCGUAGGUGGCGCUCCAAGUCCGUGGUGAAAGCUCGAUGCUUAACAUCGAGUCGGCCACGGAGACUGGAGGGCUCGAGCACUGUAGGGGCAGAUGGAAUUCCGGGUGUAGCGGUGGAAUGCGUAGAGAUCCGGAAGAACACCGGUGGCGAAGGCGGUCUGCUGGGCAGUUGCUGACACUGAGGCGCGACAGCGUGGGGAGCAAACAGG